rnacentral:rRNA from 1 species
CGACCUUGAAAUACCACCCUUUAAUGUUUGAUGUUCUAACGUUGACCCGUAAUCCGGGUUGCGGACAGUGUCUGGUGGGUAGUUUGACUGGGGCGGUCUCCUCCUAAAGAGUAACGGAGGAGCACGAAGGUUGGCUAAUCCUGGUCGGACAUCAGGAGGUUAGUGCAAUGGCAUAAGCCAGCUUGACUGCGAGCGUGACGGCGCGAGCAGGUGCGAAAGCAGGUCAUAGUGAUCCGGUGGUUCUGAAUGGAAGGGCCAUCGCUCAACGGAUAAAAGGUACUCCGGGGAUAACAGGCUGAUACCGCCCAAGAGUUCAUAUCGACGGCGGUGUUUGGCACCUCGAUGUCGGCUCAUCACAUCCUGGGGCUGAAGUAGGUCCCAAGGGUAUGGCUGUUCGCCAUUUAAAGUGGUACGCGAGCUGGGUUUAGAACGUCGUGAGACAGUUCGGUCCCUAUCUGCCGUGGGCGCUGGAGAACUGAGGGGGGCUGCUCCUAGUACGAGAGGACCGGAGUGGACGCAUCACUGGUGUUCGGGUUGUCAUGCCAAUGGCACUGCCCGGUAGCUAAAUGCGGAAGAGAUAAGUGCUGAAAGCAUCUAAGCACGAAACUUGCCCCGAGAUGAGUUCUCCCUGACUCCUUGAGAGUCCUGAAGGAACGUUGAAGACGACGACGUUGAUAGGCCGGGUGUGUAAGCGCAGCGAUGCGU